CAAGUUAUAUAUAUCCUCAUCUAUAUAAGAAACAGCUGUUAUCACAAACCUUGCCAUUUUCAGUUUUUGUUUGUGAUCUGUAGUGGGAAGUCUCAAUGCUGUAGUUGUAUAUAAAAGGAAGUUCUUUUUUUCAGCUAAAGUAUCAAGAACCACACCCAUCCUCUCCUUUCUCUUACUUGAACACUUAUUCAUACUAUUAUUUGCCUUCAUUUUCGUGGCAAGGUUUUCUAUUGUUUUUAAUUAUGAAGUUGAUGGAGGUGGAGAUUGUGAAUCAAAGUUUGGGGAUUCUGAUUUGAAGGUCGUGGAUAUUGCCUUUAAUGGUGCUGUUUAACCUUAUAAUGGAAAAAAAAAGUCGACGAUAUCUUGGAGCUGAAGAUGUCAAUAGUUUGUCAAAAGUGGAUUGAACCAUCUCACAGUUGUAGAAGUGGGCUUUCAAGAAAGCCCAAGUUGAAAAAUAGUUAUUUUAUUUAUUAGGUUGCUCUGUUAUUUGUCUUAUGUUUCAUGAAGAUGUAUUGCUCCUUUUACCAUUUUUGUUGUUGUCUUCCUGAGGUGUUUCUUAACUUUUAUUGUCAUGUUCCAGGAAGAUCGUCUAUUCUUCCUUUUAUAAAUUCCAUUAAUUGUUAUCUUUCGGUGUUGUUUUGAGUUGUAUUGUUAUGUUCCAGGAAGAUCUAUUAUUCCUUUUGUCA